rnacentral:misc_RNA from 1 species
GAUGAAGAACGCAGCGAAAUGCGAUAAGUAAUGUGAAUUGCAGAUUUCAGUGAAUCAUCGAAUCUUUGAACGCACCUUGCGCUCCUGGACUUGUUUCAGGAGCAUGCCUGUUUGAGUGUCAUGAAAUCAUCAACCACGAUGCUUCUUAUUAGUGUCGCUGGCUUGGACUUGGGGAUCUGCUGGCUUGUCAAGAGUCGGCUUCCCUUGAAUGCAUUAGUCGGGUGCCUUGCUCGAGAAGUGUGAUAAUUAUCAUUCACUGAUCGUCGAGGAGCUUUGUCUCGGCUUCUAACCGCAUUGGAAACGAUGCAAUUUUGACACAUCUGACCUCAAAUCAGGUAGGACUACCCGCUGAACUUAAGCAUAUCAAUAAGCGGAGGA